rnacentral:rRNA from 1 species
CAGUCGCCGCGGGAAUACGUAGGUGGCAAGCGUUGUCCGGAAUUAUUGGGCGUAAAGGGCUCGCAGGCGGUUUCUUAAGUCUGAUGUGAAAGCCCCCGGCUCAACCGGGGAGGGUCAUUGGAAACUGGGAAACUUGAGUGCAGAAGAGGAGAGUGGAAUUCCACGUGUAGCGGUGAAAUGCGUAGAGAUGUGGAGGAACACCAGUGGCGAAGGCGACUCUCUGGUCUGUAACUGACGCUGAGGUGCGAAAGCGUGGGGAGCAAACAGGAUUAGAUACCCCUGUAGUCCCUGUCUCUUAUAC